rnacentral:rRNA from 1 species
AGAGCUAACGCAGGGAACUGAAACAUCUUAGUACCUGCAGGAAGAGAAAAUAAAUGAAUGAUUCCCCCAGUAGUGGCGAGCGAACGGGGAACAGCCCAAACCAGUGGCGUCGCAAGGCGUGGCUGGGGUUGUAGGACCGCGACAUUGUAUGCAAAUCGUGAACAGAACACUUUGGAAAAUGUGACCAUAGACGGUGAUAGUCCAGUAUGUGAAGCGAAAUGCGGCAUAGCGGUAUCCUGAGUAACGCGGGACACGAGGAAUCCUGCGCGAAUCUGCCGGGACCAUCCGGUAAGGCUAAAUACUCCCGUGAGACCGAUAGCGAACGAGUACUGUGAAGGAAAGGUGAAAAGAACCCCGAGCAGGGGAGUGAAAUAGUUCCUGAAACCAUACGCCUACAAGCGGUCGGAGCACAGCAAUGUGUGACGGCGUGCCUUUUGCAUAAUGAUCCUACGAGUUACCGUCACUGGCGAGGUUGAGUGUCAUGAGACACGUAGCCGCAGUGAAAGCGAGCCUGAAGAGGGCGCACAGUCAGUGGGGGUAGACGCGAAACCAAGUGAUCUACACUUGGCCAGGAUGAAGUCCCGGUAACACGGGAUGGAGGUCCGCACCAAUAAGCGUUGAAAAGCUUCUGGAUGAGCCGAGUGUAGGAGUGAAAGGCCAAUCAAACUUGGAGAUAGCUCGUACUCCCCGAAAGGCAUUUAGGUGCCGCGUCGGAUGGUCACCGUGAGAGGUAGAGCGACCGAUAGGACAAGAGGGCUUCACCGCCUAUCGAGUCCUGACGAACUCCGAAUGCUCACGGUCUGCAGUCCGGCAGUAAGGGGGCGGGUGCUAAGGUCCGUCCCCGAGAGGAGAAGAAUCCAGACCGCCGUCUAAGGUCCCGGAGUUCUGCCUGAGUUAGUCUAACGAAGUCUGGUCCCUAUGACAGCUAGGAUGUUGGCUUGGAAGCAGCCAUUCAUUCAAAGAGUGCGUAACAGCUCACUAGUCGAGGGUCCGGGCAUGGAUAAUAAUCGGGUAUAAGGCAGACACCGAAGGCGCGGGAUAGCAAUUUUAAAAGUAUCGGUAGGGGAGCAUACUCACAGCGUCGAAUGGUGUACGUAAGUUAUCCUGGAGCGGUGAGUAAAGCAAAUGUAGGAAUAAGUAACGAUAAGGGGGGUUAGAUUCCCUCCCGCUGUAAGACCAAGGUUUCCCGGGCAAUGCCAAUCAGCCCGGGGUCAGUCGGGUCCUAAGUCUAAGCCGAACGGCGAUGGCGAUGGCAGAGACGGUUAAUAUUCCGUCACUGCCGCAUGGGGCGACGUGGAGACGGAGCAGUGAAACCACCGCGGGGCGACGGAAGUCCCCGUUGAAGAGUGUAGGUGUUGAGGAUGGCAGGCAAAUCCACCAUCCGAGCUGAACUUGACAGUACGGAGUCCUCCUCGGAGGAAUCUGAUAGUGUGGGUAAUCAUACUCCCGAGAAAAUCCGCUAAGCUUAACCCAUGCGGCACCCGUACCGCAAACGGACACACGUGGUCGGGUAGAACAUACUAAGGCGUUGAGAGAUUCAUGGUUAAGGAACUAGGCAAAUUGACCCUGUAACUUCGGGAUAAAGGGUCCUCGUGAUGAGCGAGGCGCAGAGAAUAGGUCCAGGCAACUGUUUAACAAAAACACAGGGCUGUGCAAACUCGAAAGAUGACGUAUACAGCCUGACACCUGCCCGGUGCCGGAAGGUUAAGAGGAGAUGUCACUCGCAAGAGGAAGCAUUGAAUUGAAGCCCCGGUAAACGGCGGCCGUAACUAUAACGGUCCUAAGGUAGCGAAAUUCCUUGUCGGGUAAGUUCCGACCUGCACGAAUGGUGUAAUGAUCCGGACGCUGUCUCAACCAUGAGCUCAGUGAAAUUGUAGUAUCGGUGAAGAUGCCGAUUACCCGCGAUGGGACGAAAAGACCCCGUGAACCUUUACUACAGCUUAGCAUUGACCUUGGUCAUCCGAUGUGUAGGAUAGGCCGGAGGCUUCGAAGCGGGAGCGCCAGCUUUCGUGGAGCCAUCCUUGAAAUACGGCCCUUUGGCUGUCUGAGGUCUAACGCGUGAUAACGCGGACACUGCUUGGUGGGUAGUUUGACUGGGGUGGUCGCCUCCAAAAGCGUAACGGAGGCUUCCAAAGGUGCCCUCGGGUCGAUUGGUAACCGACCUCAAAGAGUGCAAUGGCAUAAGGGCGCUUGACUGGGAGGCAGACAUGCCGAGCAGGCAGGAAACUGGGGCAUAGUGAUCCGGCGGAUGUGUAUGGAAACUCCGUCGCUCAAAGGAUAAAAGGUACUCCGGGGAUAACAGGCUGAUCCCCCCCAAGAGCUCAUAUCGACGGGGUGGUUUGGCACCUCGAUGUCGGCUCGUCACAUCCUGGGGCUGGAGAAGGUCCCAAGGGUUGGGCUGUUCGCCCAUUAAAGUGGCACGCGAGCUGGGUUCAGAACGUCGUGAGACAGUUCGGUCUCUAUCUAUCGUGGGCGUGGGAGUUUUGAGUGGUGCCGUCACUAGUACGAGAGGACCGUGAUGGACAGACCUCCGGUUUACCAGUUGUGCCGCCAGGCGCACCGCUGGGUAUCUGAGUCUGGAUUGGAUAAGCGCUGAAAGCAUCUAAGUGCGAAGCCAGCCGCAAGAUGAGAACUCCAUUGAGGGUCGUCAAAGACGAUGACGUUGAUAGGAUGCAGGUGUAAAGACAGCGAUGUCAAAGCCGAGCAUUACUAAUUGCCCGAACACUUUCUUUAA